rnacentral:rRNA from 1 species
CGGGUGAGUAACGCGUGGAGAACCUGCCGUAUACUGGGGAUAACACUUAGAAAUAGGUGCUAAUACCGCAUAAGCGCACAGCUUCGCAUGAAGCAGUGUGAAAAACUCCGGUGGUAUACGAUGGAUCCGCGUCUGAUUAGCUGGUUGGCGGGGUAAAGGCCCACCAAGGCGACGAUCAGUAGCCGGCCUGAGAGGGUGAACGGCCACAUUGGGACUGAGACACGGCCCAAACUCCUACGGGAGGCAGCAG